rnacentral:lncRNA from 1 species
CUCAUCAAUAAUCUUAGAAGAUGGCAUAUCCUCAGCCAAGUCUGCCACCUGUGGCUCCACCAUUCGCGAGGACUUCCCCUUGUCUGAGCGAGAAGAUGUUGCCACAACGGGCAGACUCAUAGGAGCAUCUGCAGAACUCAAAAAUAACAAAUCAGAAACCAAUAGCACAAGCAAAGGUAAAGCAUCAAAAACUGAAUUACCUUCUGCUUCGAUGUUUGGGGGGUUGACGCCCUGGGAAGAAGGGUGGCUCAUCCAUUGGUUGUGAUGAGGAUUCUGGGACUGAAGAUGUCUCUUUAAGCGUAGUCCCUUCAUCAGUUGGUUUGGAUGAAGCAGCCUCAGCGGAGGAUGAUGGAGCAGGAGCUGUCGAUACCAAAG